rnacentral:rRNA from 1 species
GACGAACGCUGGCGGCGUGCCUAAUACAUGCAAGUCGAACGAGAGCGACCGGUGCUUGCACUGGUCAAUCUAGUGGCGAACGGGUGAGUAACACGUGGGUAACCUGCCCAUCAGAGGGGGAUAACAUCCGGAAACGGAUGCUAAAACCGCAUAGGUCUUCGAACCGCAUGGUUUGAAGAGGAAAAGAGGCGCAAGCUUCUGCUGAUGGAUGGACCCGCGGUGCAUUAGCUAGUUGGUGAGGUAACGGCUCACCAAGGCCGUGAUGCAUAGCCGACCUGAGUGGGUGAUCGGCCGCAUUGGGACUGAAACACGGCCCAUACUCCUGCGGGAGGCAGCAGUAGCGAAUCUGCCGCAAUGGACGCGAGUCUGGCGGAGCAACGCCGAGUGAGUGAAGAAGGUUUUCGGAUCGUAAAACUCUGUUGUUAGAGAAGAACAAGUGCUAGAGUAACUGUUAGCGCCUUGACGGUAACUAACAAGAAAGCCACGGCUAACUACGUG